rnacentral:rRNA from 1 species
GGAAUGAUGGGAAUUUAAACCUCUUCCAGAGUAUCAAUUGGAGGGCAAGUCUGGUGCCAGCAGCCGCGGUAAUUCCAGCUCCAAUAGCGUAUAUUAAAAUUGUUGCAGUUAAAAAGCUCGUAGUUGAAUUUCUGCUGCAUCGUCGCAUCUCUUGCUGAGUGCUUCGUUUCGGCUUAUUUCGGAUUGAUUUUUUCUUUCCGGAUGAUUACUUUGAGAAAAUUAGAGUGCUCAAAGCAGGCUUUUGCCUUGAAUAGUUUAGCAUGGAAUAAUAAAGUAGGACUUUGGUUCUAUUUUGUUGGUUUUAGGUACCAAAGUAAUGGUUAAUAGGAACAGUUGGGGGCAUUCGUAUUUAACUGUCAGAGGUGAAAUUCUUAGAUUUGUUAAAGACGAACUACUGCGAAAGCAUUUGCCAAGGAUGUUUUCAUUAAUCAAGAACGAAAGUUAGGGGAUCGAAGACGAUCMGAUACCGUCGUAGUCCUACC